rnacentral:rRNA from 1 species
UACGUAGGGGGCAAGCGUUGUCCGGAAUUAUUGGGCGUAAAGAGCGCGUAGGCGGUCCGAUAAGUCGGCUGUGAAAGUCAAGGGCUCAACCCUUGAAAGCCGGCCGAUACUGUCGGACUAGAGUCCGGAAGAGGCGAGUGGAAUUCCCGGUGUAGCGGUGAAAUGCGCAGAUAUCGGGAGGAACACCAAUGGCGAAGGCAGCUCUCUGGGACGGUACUGACGCUGAGACGCGAAAGCGUGGGGAGCGAACAGG